CCCCAAAUUUUCAUUCCUUUCUCUUUCCAUACCACGAUCUUUUUUCUUUCCUCUUCCUUUCAUCACAAAAUCUCCAAAUGGUAUCAUCUAAACUGCAGCCCUAGCUCCCACCAUUGUACGUCGGACGACUCCAACUCCCACCGUCGCACGUCGGGUGGCUUUAACUCCGUCCAUCGCUGUAAGUUCGUGACUCCAUCCGUGACCCUACAUCUGCCGACGUGACUCCGCCCUGUCCUCGUUCUAACUCCCUCCACCGCCGCAAGUUUGUUCUCAUUUUGCUGCUGUGAUUUUGGUUUAGGAAUAUUUGUCUUCUGCAGAAAAUACCUUAAUUUUUUUAUAGCAGGAUACUUUUUAUAAGAUAGUAGUUCUUUGUUCUAUCUUGUUACUUGCAGCGUCUUGGUGCCCUAGCCAUAAAUAUUUCUUGUAAUAUUUCAUUUUGUCAAAAUGCAUAUUUAAGAAGUAUGUUUGCUAUGCUCUUGAUGUUCCAAUGUAUUUCAUAUAUCGGAAAAAGAAAUAUAUUGACUAUUCUGGAAUGUCCUUCAGGGAUUUUAUGGCAGGAAAGCUCCCACUAGUUCCUAGAGAACUUCCUACCCUAACUGAUUAGGAAAAUCAUUUGACUACAAUAUUUCCAGAGGUAUUCUACACUUGAUUUACUCCAACAAUAUGCUUGUUAUGACCUGAUUCUAGGAUCUAUUUUUCCCUCAUUACUGAGGUGAAACUGAAGAGAUAUUUGAAGAUGAGGGGUAGUGAUGGAGGCCCUUGGAGGAGAUUAUGUGCUUUCUUCCAGCAUUUUAGGAAGUUUUCUGUUCACUGAAGUCAUCAUUGACUAGUAUUGAAGCACUUCAGUAUGCUGAAUAUGAAAAACAAGUUUGUUCACUGCUGAUGGAUUGCAGACCCUAAUGAAUAAUCUUUAUACAUUUCUUUUGGUGAUGGAGACCAUAAUGGAUAUGUUAAAGAAGGAUGGAAAAACUCUCGAAGUCUACGUAGCAAUGCAAGUCGUGAGAUUGAUACAAGGACCUCAUAUAGUCAACUCGAGUUGGAUGAAGUAUGCAAAUGGAGCUCGUUGAUUUUUUGGGUGGCAACAUGUGAUUAUGGUGAUAGCUAAGUUCUUUUGGGUUAGAUAGACAAGUUUUGUUGACACUAGAUAUAGGUGAAUUUGUUUUGUUGAUAUUUUGUUGAUACUAGAUAUAGGUGAGAAAGACAAGUUUUGAUAUGGUACACCGUUAGGCUACAUAUAUAUUUUGUUUAUAUCGACAUAGAUGAAAAGUUUAAGUUAUUGUUAGAAGUUUGGGUUGCAUAUAUAUAUAUAUGUUGUAAUUUAGUAUGUAA